rnacentral:rRNA from 1 species
GUAAUAAUUCUAGCCAAGACAAUUUUAACCUUCUAGAAAAACAAAUAAACCAUUUAAUCAAAUAGUAUAGGCGAUAGAAAAUUUUUUAUGCGCAACAGAAGAAGUACUGUAGAGGAAAGAUGAAAUAAAACUGAAAUAAAUAACAAAAACAAGAAAAAGAAAAGACUAACCCUUUUACCUUUUGCAUAAUGGUCUAGUAAGUCAAACCUAGCAAAAAGAAGUAAAGUCAGCCCCCCCGAAACUAGACGAGCUACUUAAAAACAGCAAUCAGAGCUAACCCGUCUCUGUGGCAAAAGAGUGGGAUGAUUUUUAAGUAGAGGUGAAAAGCCUAACGAGCCUAGUGAUAGCUGGUUGCUUGAGAAAUGAAUAUUAGUUCAGCUUAAAGCGCUCCAAAUUUUUAUAAGAAUAAAAAUAGCACUUUAAAGUUAGUUAAUAGAGGUACAGCUCUAUUAACAAAGGACACAACCUAUAUUAUGAAUAAAGAUUAUAUUAAUCAAAGAACUUAACCGUGUAGGCCCAAAAGCAGCCACCAUCAGAAAGCGUCAAAGCUCAGUUUCAUAUUAACCCUUAUUAUCCGAAUAAAAGAAUCUAAAUCCACAAGAAAUAUCAAGCCUAUCUACUAAGUAGAUGAGUUUAUACUAGAAUGAGUAACAAGAAAACAUUCUCUUCAUGCAAGCGUAAAUCAGAACGAAAGAAUCACUGAUAAUUAACGGCAUAAAUAUUUAACACAACAAGAAAGACACAUUAAGAUAACCGUUAACCCGACACAGGAGCAUCCAAGAAGAUUAAAAGAUUAAAAAGGAACUCGGCAACCAAGAAUUUCGCCUGUUUACCAAAAACAUCGCCUCUUGCCACACAUAAUAUAAGAGGUCCCGCCUGCCCAGUGAUAAAUUUUAACGGCCGCGGUAUCAUGACCGUGCAAAGGUAGCGUAAUCACUUGUCUUUUAAAUAAAGACCUGUAUGAAAGGCAAAACGAAAAUUCAACUGUCUCUUUAAUUCGAUCAGUAAAAUUAAUCUCUCCGUGCAGAAGCGGAGAUAGCUAUAUAAGACGAGAAGACCCUAUGGAGCUUUAAACACAAAAUUAACUACACUAACACCCUUAACCAACAGGCAAAAAUAUAAACAUGUAGCCAUAAUUUAAGUUUUCGGUUGGGGCGACCACGGAAGAAAGAAGAUCCUCCGAGAUAAACAACUUAGAGCAACACUUCAAAGACUAAAACAUUUGUUAUAAAUGAUCCACUAAGUGACCAACGAACCAAGUUACCCUAGGGAUAACAGCGCAAUCCUUUCUAAGAGUCCAUAUCGACGAAUGGGUUUACGACCUCGAUGUUGGAUCAGGACACCCAAAUGGUGCAACCGCUAUUAAAGGUUCGUUUGUUCAACGAUUAAAGUCCUACGUGAUCUGAGUUCAGACCGGAGUAAUCCAGGUCAGUUUCUAUCUAUAAUAAAAUUUUUUCUAGUACGAAAGGACCGAAAAAAUAGAGCCUCUUAAAAAUAAAGCUCUCACGCCACUGAAGACAAAUCAAGUCCAACAUAAAAUAUACCCCCAGGUAAGGACAA